rnacentral:lncRNA from 1 species
GCUCAGUGCAGAACAACUUCAUAACAGUGAUAAACCCACUAAUUUUUAAAUCAAAAUUUACAUAAAGGCUAAAGCUUUCUAUCAUUACACUUUGAUUAGCUCAAAAUGAAGAAAAUCAAAACCCACAGUUGUUGAAAUCAACAUGCACAAAAAAAAAUUCAAAAUACAAAGAACCCAUUUUCAGGUUUAAUUAACCCAAGUUCAACAAAAUCAUCUACAAAUUAUCUCUUUCUCACUCCUGUCACGGAUGAAGUCGUUCGCCGCUGGUACUCGCUUCAUGGAAGACUUGGGCCACCAUCAUAACUCAUCUUGUUCGUAAUUGAAGCUAAAAUGUUUUUUAAUCUUGAAAAGGUUUUGGGCCAAUGCAGCUGCUUCUUCACAGCCUUAGGAAGACGAAAAUGGUUGGGUGUUGCUUAGAUGAAAGAGAAAGCUAAGUG